rnacentral:rRNA from 1 species
UGGGGAAUAUCGCACAAUGGGCGAAAGCCUGAUGCAGCGACGCCGCGUGAGGGAAGACGGUCCUCUGGAUUGUAAACCUCUGUCUUCGGGGACGAAACGAGACGGUACCCGAGGAGGAAGCCACGGCUAACUACGUGCCAGCAGCCGCGGUAAUACGUAGGUGGCAAGCGUUGUCCGGAAUUACUGGGUGUAAAGGGAGCGUAGGCGGGCAGGCAAGUCAGGCGUGAAAGAUAUCGGCUCAACCGGUAGCUGCGCUUGAAACUGCAGGUCUUGAGUGAAGUAGAGGUUGGCGGAAUUCCUAGUGUAGCGGUGAAAUGCGUAGAUAUUAGGAGGAACACCAGUGGCGAAGGCGGCCAACUGGGCUUUUACUGACGCUGAGGCUCGAAAGUGUGGGGAGCAAACAGGAUUAGAUACCCUGGUA